CACUCCCACGCAAUGGCUAAAAAUGCCUUUCUUCUACCCUCAUGAUUGAUAGCUUAGCUGGGAAUAUUAUUUUGUAUUGAUAAUUAUUUUCUCUGAGGAUGAAAGCAUUGCUGCACUCUCUUGGAGCUUCCAGUGUUGUUGAGAAGGGUAAUGUCAUUUUGAUUCCUGUUCCUUUAUGUGUGAUCUCAUAUUCCUUUCUGAAAUCUUUCAGGAUCUGAUUUAUCUAUGGUAUGAUGAAAUGUCGUAACACGGCCUUGUGUGAGUCUUCUUUUUUUCUUUUCUCCCCUCCUUUUCCUCCUGUUUUUUGUUUACUAUGUUAAGCAUUUGGAAGGUCAUUUUAAUCUGGAUACACAUGUCCUUCAGUUUGGAAGGUUUCUGAUAUUUCUUUGAUAGGUAUAUUUUCCACAAACAUAUUUUCUCCCAAAACAUAUCAGAAGAGUGGUAUUAUUUUACAUUUUUAAACAUUUACGCUUGGCUUAAUAGAAUGAGUUCUCACAUCUACUUCUGCAUUCAAUCUUGCAAUAUGUUGUUUUGGUUGAAAUCUAUGAAGAAAUUACAACUAAGCACAUUUUUAAGGACGCUUGUGUCUGAACAGAUAGUAAUACAGAAACCAACAUAACGAGAAAUACCUGGCAUCUCUUUAUCUGAGGACUUUGCUAAAUGGGAAAUAUUUAGUCAUCUUCUUGAAAAGAAUUUAUCCAAACUUGCAUUGGUAGAAAACAAAACUGGCUUUGUUUCCCUGUAUAAAAACCACUUAGCACUUCAUUUGUAUAUUCAAAUGUAGUUUGUGAAGAGAGCAAUCAGAGAAAUCAUGUAUCCAAUUUGUAAAUACAAUUAACCAAGAGAAUAUACAGGUCAGAUCGCCCUUCAACUGGUCUCACAAUUGCCAUCACAAACUGAGUCAGCUGGCCAAAGUGAUGGGGAGACAUUCUGAGAAAUGUGUCAUUAGGAGAUUUCACCAUUGUGUGAACAUCAUAGAGUAUACUUACACAAAUCUGUAUAGUAUAGCCUACCUACCACACACCUAGGCUAUACGGUACAACCUGUAGCUCCUAGGCUACAAAACUAUACAGCAGGUUUGUACAGUGACUGUUGAAUACUACAGGCAAUUGGAAUACAGUGGUAAGGAUUUGUGUAUCUGAACAGAUCUAAACAUAGAAAAGGUCAUGUGUCACUACAUGACGUUAUGCCAGUUGGCAAUAGGAAUUUUUGAGCUUCAUUAUGGUUUUAUGGGACCACUGCUGUGUAUGCAGCCCACCACUGAUGAGAACAUCAUACGCAGUGCGUGACUGUACUUCGACCACCAGGGGUACAAGUGCAUGGACUGGACAGAAGGAAAACCUCAGAGAACCUGAGGAUGUGGAUAAGACUGUUUAGUGAGGUUCUCAACUCAUCACAAGCUACCAGGUAUUCGGCAUGGAGGGGUGGUGACAGUUAUGCAGGACAUUGACAUAUGAUGAUACAGUGGUCAUUCUUACAUAAAAUGAAGAAGACUGUCCAGUAAAUUCUAUGAGUUUGCAGUAGAUGGAUCAUCAAAGGAUAUGGGUAAUCUUGUAGUAACAGGACUAUGUUACUAGGAAUUUCACUAGUCCUGUUACUAAUUCAUAGGCCAUGGAGCAAUAUAAGACCAAGGUUACAAACCCCUAAAAUUGUCUGGAAAGAGAAUGACUUUUUUAUGUACUUUGGUCUGAGCAUGUGAUUCAUAAGUAUAUGACAGCAGAUCAAUUCAGAUACAUCCAGAAGAAGCCAUCCUUUAUUCUGAAAUGUCCUAACCAUACCUGAAAUAAAUACUAAGUGAUGCACCAGAAUUUUCCUCCCUGGGAUCAAUGAGCAGUAGCAUUGAGAGCAGAAACGGCAGCCGUGGUAACAGGAGCUGCUGUGGUCAGUAGGCUCUCAGGGUCUUGGCAGGUUGCGCUGUCCAGCCUCGGCCCCAGACUCCAGAAUGUCAGACGUCUUUCCA
rnacentral:lncRNA from 10 species